rnacentral:rRNA from 1 species
GACGAACGCUGGCGGCGUGCUUAACACAUGCCAGUCGAACGGAAAGGCCCUGCUUUUGUGGGGUGCUCGAGUGGCGAACGGGUGAGUAACACGUGAGUAACCUGCCCUUGACUUUGGGAUAACUUCAGGAAACUGGGGCUAAUACCGGAUAGGAGCUCCUGCUGCAUGGUGGGGGUUGGAAAGUUUCGGCGGUUGGGGAUGGACUCGCGGCUUAUCAGCUUGUUGGUGGGGUAGUGGCUUACCAAGGCUUUGACGGGUAGCCGGCCUGAGAGGGUGACCGGCCACAUUGGUACUGAGAUACGGCCCAGACUCCUACGGGAGGCAGCAGUGGAGAAUAUUGCACAAUGGGCGGAAGCCUGAUGCAGCAACGCCGCGUGCGGGAUGACGGCCUUCGGGUUGUAAACCGCUUUCGCAUGUGACGAAGCGUGAGUGACGGUAAUGGGUAAAGAAGCACCGGCUAACUACGUG